ensembl:lncRNA
GCAACCAUGUUUUCAAUACUGCCAUUUAUAUGUAUGGUUUAGUUGAAGCAUGUUGUCCUUCAUUAAAUUUAAUGGUUUUAAUGGAAAUUAGCGAUUUAAAAUGUAUUUUUGUAACUGUUUCUAAUAUAAUAUCAGUUUUUAGUAAUAAAUUCACAUUCAUGGAUGUUGGAGCUCAUAACAGAAGUUUUAAAUAAGUAAGAAAUAAACUCAUAUUGUUGAAACCAUUUGCUAUUUUAUGCGAACUUAUAUAAUUGUUCCUAGACAUUUUUACGUAAAACGUACAAAAAUUAUAGAAUAUUUGCUAAAAUUUAAUUCACGUGUUGUAAACGAAUCACACAGAAGUGUAUUAUGUUGACGGAAGUCUACACGAUCGACCAAUCACGCUCCCAUUACUCUUUACGUCAUUUGACAGGUAGCGUAACUAGGAAGUAAACAUCUAACGCUAUAAUGGCAAGAAAGUCGUCCAAGUUAAGCCCCUACUCAAAUAUGUUACUAAAUUUCGUUUUAUAUAGUAUUUUUUAUGAAUUCGCCUUCGCCUUUCCGUCAUAUCCCGAAUCCAGACAGUCAGAAAGUUUGGAGAAACCCACCUCAACACCAAACAAUCAACAGGUUCUAAGUCUGCAUUUAGGAGUUAUCGCGUCUGUUGUGAUCGUUAUUGUUGCUGCAGUAGCAGCUGCUGUAUUCAUCAUACGGAGUUACUGCUGUCUGCAGAGUAAUGUAACAUAUAGAUAUUCAGAGCUGCGACAAAUGGAAGCGGAAAAUGCAGCCAGAGAAGAGGACGAUGGUUCAGAUGAGGACCUUUUGGAGUGAAUCGUGCAGCACAAUUUAUCCCUGACGUUUCUCUUCCUUUUUUAAUCCUGUGACAUUAUAUGGCCAAAAGCAUCACAUGGGUCAUUUAAAAACCACCAAGAGUCCCUGAAAUAUUUAUCUCUGUUCCACCAUUUUUCAGCACGGAUAUGUCCACCAACCAGUUAAAAUUAGCUGGUUAAAUCUGGCAGGAUUCAAAGGCUAAAAUCUCCUACGUGAAAGAGCUGUGGGGAAGCGGUUCAGAAAUACUAAAAGAUGCUCAUUGGAGAUAAAAGUUACUAUGAUUUAUUUGCAGGCAAAUAACUUAUGAAACUAGCUGUUAUGGUUGUCGGUUGUGGUGACCAUUGCUUAAAACUUGGUCAAUACUUGGAACUACUUUUUAAAGAAGAACUUGUUUAGUAUUUUCUUGAAUUUCUCAAUGCAAGGUACGUUGUACCAAAGUCGGUUGAAAUGAUUGUUCCUCUAUUUAUUGUGCCUGACCUUUUCUUUUAAAAAACAGCUUUAUGAUCUCAGGGUUGUUCCCACUGGAUACUGUGAGCAGUGCCACCAAUACCAGAAGCACAUCUGAAAUAGCAUUUGACUGUAAACAAGUCUUAUCCACUGUAAUGAUGCUGCAGACUUUGCAUUUCAGUGCCUUACUGAAAUCUGUUACUGUAUAAUUUAACUCUUGUGGUAUUUUGAACAAUGAUAUGCACUCAUAUGCCAGUAUUGAUAUUUAUAGUGGCAGUGUUUGACUUCACCUCUAUUUUAAGAUGACAAUGUUGAUACAGAAUUAUUAUGUGCAGUCCAGAGCUCCACAACAGUGUUUUUAUGAGCUCAGUCCAUGAUGGGAAGUAUUUUUGAUGGAUGCUAAUUGAAUUCUGUAUCUUUAGAUUUUCAUAUGUUUGCACCUUCUUUUCUGAGACUGAACUACUGACUACUUAAAAAAAAUAGUUAAUUUAACUGAGAAGGAAUAAAAUUAUGUACAUGAAUAUUCCUUGUAUGUUU